UACAGAGGUCUCAAGCGUUGUUCGGAUUCAUUGGGCGUAAAGGGUGCGUAGGUGGCGCCGUAAGUCAGGUGUGAAAUCUUGGAGCUUAACUCCGAAACUGCAUUCGAUACUGCCGUGCUUGAGGACUGGAGAGGAGACUGGAAUUUACGGUGUAGCGGUGAAAUGCGUAGAUAUCGUAAGGAAGACCAGUGGCGAAGGCGGGUCUCUGGACAGUUCCUGACGCUGAGGCACGAAGGCCAGGGGAGCAAACGGG
rnacentral:rRNA from 1 species